AUACUUGCCUGGCAGGGGAGAUACGAUGAUCACGAAGGUGGUUUUCCUAGGGCAAGGCUUAUCCAUUGAAUUCCGUAUGUGCUGACCCCUGCGAUUUCCCCAAAUGUGGGAAAAUUGACUGCAUAAUUUGUGGUAGUGGGGGACUACGUUCGCGCUCUCCCCUG
ensembl:snRNA U1 U1 spliceosomal RNA